CAAACUCGAGGGCCUUUAAAGAACAACGCGCAGAGUGGAGCAGGGAGCAGGUACAGGUUUAACGGCUACGGCUGUCACCGAGAAACCACUGCAACCCUGCAAGGACACCAGCGGCUGUAGCCUGCUUCUGUCAGGACACCAACACUGUUACUCCAACAGUAUGAAAAUAUUUGAAACCAUCAGCAACAUUCGCUUGACCUCUACCUGGUCUUUCUGCUGGCUCCCAGCACAAUAGUGCUGUAUUCCAGUCAUUAUAUGCAUGGGAAUUAAACUAAGUAGUGGGUGGAAAAGUGAAUUAGAUUUAGGGAGUGAAACAAUGCAUGGCGGUUGAGCUGUAGAUAUUGCACGUAACCUUUCCCAUGCUGUUCUACUCAGUCGCUUCUAAUGCCUUUCAGAGGGCAGCAUUAAGUGACAGCACUAGCGUCUGCUUUCCUUUCUAUAAACUGAAUAAUAUGAUCGUUUUAUAAUCUCUGCUGAACCUCCUUAGUGAGCCUUAAAAUCCAGGCUGAUUUGUCAGCCAACACAAAGCAGCCAGUGCUUCGCUGCCCGGCACCGGCGGCCAAGGGAAAUCACCCCAAAACAUGAUUUAGCCCUGUUUAAUUCGCAGCUCCCGUGCGCUUCCUACCCUACGUGCCUGAAUAGCAGGGGAAGGCAUGCAGCGCACAGUGCCCGUUGCAGACAUUUGCAAGAGCACCUAUAUAAUUUGCAGAGGUCCAAGUGGUGCCUACGUCCUUACUGCGUGCAUACGUGUGUGGAAGUGGUGCAAUUUGACAUUUCGUAUUUCCUGAAUUCCCCCAGCUUACCCUCUCCCAUCUGGCACCAAAAUGGGGGUUCUCUAAAGCUAUUAGUAUUAUUACCAUUACUACUGCUGCUAUUAUUGUUAUGACAGCUUGCACUGCAGCGGGAUGGGCAAGAGGGCUCCACUGCUCUAACCGUACGCACGGAUGCCCGCUAGCCCCCAAAACACACAAUCUCAGAGUAACAUCAUCUAAAACAGGCGAAGAAAACAGAGGCACCAGGGAAAGAAUGAAAUUAGAGCGGUCUGCAUGGAAAACCAGGGCCACAAAUCAUCAUUUGUGUUGUUUAUUGUCAUCCUAGAAGAUAAAAUAAUAAGGGGGAAUAUAAAGGACGGCAAGGUGACUUUGCAGAAGAGAACAAAGUUUGUUUAAAUACAUUAAACAUCAGCAACCCAGGUCAGCACCGCUCGCUGAAUGAGUGCAGGCAAUAUGGCUCGGUACUGUAAAAGACAUGAUAGGUAAGUGGAUGGAUUUGGCCAGAAAGGCCUUAAAAUGAAGAUACAUUGUUUGAGCUCACUAUGUAUGCAAGAGAAAACCAGUCCACAUAUUCACAGUGGUGCGACACAGGCGACACAACAAAGUAAGAAAAUGCUUUUUGCAGGAGCAGUUAAAGUGACCGAAAUGAAGACUAGCACUGGGCUGAAAAAGUUAGGUUCAGCCUGCAAAAACCUCCUUGACGUGCAGCAGCUGAGGACAACCGAGUCAGGAGACCGAGGGAAGAUCCAAAAGACAAAGUGGUAACGUGUUGUAUAGAUUGGCCUGGUUUAUGUUUGUGGCUAUGAUCUGCCCUGGCAAAAAAGUGCCCGCGUGUUUCCUGCACAGCAGAACGUGUGAACUUUGGUACUUGGAGCCUGCCCUUUCUUUGACAUCUCCUCCAAGAGUGAGCGACCUCUACUCGUCAGCAAUAUCUAUUACGCUGGAGACCUGAAGGUGAACGCACAUAAUCUUGGAAUUGUCCGGUUUUGUCUCUGUUAGUUGCUCAUAAAGGAUUUCUUAGCAGUGAUUAGAAGUUUGCUUAUGCAGGGUGAUUAUGUUGCAUAAUGCAUCUUCCCAUUACGCAGCUAAUAAGAACAAAAGCAAUGUAUAUUUUGGCACAAAGAGGUUGGGAGUUUAUUGAAGUUGUAAAUUACGGAUUCCACUAAUGCAGGGUAAUAAGAUCGAGCAGCACAGUGUGAGCGUCAGAGUAAUCAUUCUCCGAGUUUUGUCUAAUAUGUGUAGUUAUUAGACAUUUUGCGCCUUAUUAAUCUUCUUUGACCUUCUUCCACAAAUUCUCCUUCCUACAAAAACGAGCAACUUGCUGAGAAUCGUAAUGUGGCCACAAGCAUCCGUAAAAUAGCAGGGCAUGCUGCAAAUGCGUGACCGUAGGCUACGAAACGCGAUGGGUGGAGCGAAUGUGCUGGGGCGACCGCCCCGAGCCUCUCCCCUCCCCUUGUCUGAACAAACGUUACGUAAAAUCUUGCAAGCAAAUAGACAGCGUUGUAAAGGAGGUGCAUAAGGCAUUCGAAUAAAUAAGUAGUUAAGAUAUUAAAGUUUAAAAAUCAGCAGCUCGGCAUACAAAUUUUCCCAACGUGUUUGCUCGCUCAGCCCCCGCUCGCUAUGAAAUCUGCAAUAAUUACCCAGUAUCAACGCACCGCGCCAGAGGUCUCUGCAUUUGCAGGGGCCCAGGAGGGAUCCGUCUCCGUGCCCCACGGUCCGGAUACGUGCGUUGGUGCAGCGCCGGCCAGCACAGCCCUCCGGCUGCACAAGCUGAGUGCUGAGCACCAGGGAUUGCUGCUCCCACGCAAAACUGCCCUUGGGACAUGUUCUUCACAGUCACAAAAAGCAGUAUAUUUAUCUCUAUAUAUAAAGAAUUGUCUUUAAGCAGUAUAUCAUUUGAUUUCCAACUUUAUUUUUGCAUACUACUCAGCAUCACCCGUUUCCACCUAGUCGCUGAAUCUCUCCACGAAGCACGUCAUCGGCAAAGCUCCGGCUGGGAAACGUCACCGGGAUGCGUAGGGGCAGCGAGCACGUAAGCGCAGAAGUGCGUCUGCAGGAACGUCACUAUCCUCCUAAAAAUACACAUCCCGCCUCUCGCAAGUCCCACGUACACAGCUUGCCUUCUUAUAUUUGGAUUGCUUGCGUGAAGAAAGAAAAAAAAGUCCACGCGUUGGAAGUAGCUCUGUAAAGAGCACGAAAAGGACAUUUCUGGGCUGUUGGCCUUAAAACGAGGAGGCUUUAGCUACGCGGCCCAGUGUUUUGCUUUCAGGUCGAAAGGUAAACUAGGCGUUGCAGAGUAUAGCAAACAUUAAUUUCUAUAAAAGUGCAAUUAUUCCACAGGGGAAUGCCUAAGGGCAGCAGAUACACAUGCCAACUUAAAGAUUUUUUUUUAAAUGUAGGACUAAUUUACAAAAAGCUUUCAAUUCAUACAAACUAACUAGAAGUGAGCAAAUUCCCUUUAAGCUGGUCCAGUGCCCGCUAAGUUUCUCGUGGACUUCCCCACUGUUUUCUGCAGGACAGCAGUGCACUCGCAGUCAUAUCUCCUUAAAAGGCUUUAAGGGAACUCUUAUCAGGGCCUUCCACAUGUCGUGCACGGUGGCUGCGGAGCACCGUUCUCAUGGUGACAAUGCCCACGCCAAGAGAAGGUCCCGCCACGCUGGAUGCCGUCCGGAUUUGUGCACCUAGCCCUGCUCCUAAGGCUUUGGGAUAAUUCCAGGCCAUUGAUGCCUGUAAGGAGAAAAGGGAUGAGAAGAGAAUGAUGCCGGGAUAAGCGGCUUACGCUCGUGAAUGACGCUCAGGAAACAUAACUCGUGCUAUGAAGUGAAUGAGAUAAAUACACAAAAUGGAAUUGCAGCGCAUCCUCAUCUAGCGAGUAUUUCCCAGCUCGUUUACAACAUUUUUAAGACGUGUUAGUCGAUGAACGUUGAACGCAGAUGACUUUUGGGUGUUGACCUCUCCCAGCCUGACUCUCGGGAUUUCAUGGAGGCCGAGCCCCACCGAUGUCGGCCGGCGCCUUCCCGGGCCCGGUGCUGUCCUGCGUGUUGCCACGCAUGCAAUGAGCGUGCAAAGCCAACGGCCCGAGGCAGGCUACGGCUUCUGCAAUGCUGCGUUAUCCGGGUUUCAGAUGUUCUGGUUCACACGCUGAGGGAGAUGCAUAUUCUUCCCAUCUUUCCAGAAGUAUCUUCCUAAACAAUUCCCAGUUUAUCAUCUAAGUCAGGAUGAAGAGAGGAAAUCUCAGACUGCAGUCAGUGGAUGAAAGGUAGUUCCCAGCAAACACUGACUUCCUAAAACAGUGUUUACAGCAGAACAAGGUUUCUUGCUCAAAGUUAACAAACACGUAAGAGCACUUCUGGGAAAGAAAAAGCAUAGAAAUAUUGAACACUACAGGUGAUUGCAUUGGAGAGCAGUUCUGUAAUUUGAAUUACACUGGUCAUUGCUACUUAUGACAAUAAGGAGAUGCACAUUUUUGGACAGGAAUGCAGAAUAGAAAUUGAUGCAGAGUCUUGGUAAAAUGUCAGUGCACCUCAGUUUUGUCUCCUGAUUUCAGGGUUUUCAUGUUUCUUUUUUUUCCAUUUUUCUUCUACUUUUACAUACUACUAAGUUAGCAAAUGGAAAUAUAUGUACUGAAUUCUUAACAGCAAAUACACUAGCUAAAAAAACCCCUUAAAUAAAAGUUCUUUUAUUUCACUUUCAA